UUGGAGGGCAAGUCUGGUGCCAGCAGCCGCGGUAAUUCCAGCUCCAAUAGCGUAUAUUAAAGUUGUUGCAGUUAAAAAGCUCGUAGUUGAAUUUCGGGAUUCGUCGGUUGGUCGGGCUUCACUGUCCGCACUGACCUGACGGGUUCCUACCUUCUGAAUAACCAGCAUGCUAUUAAGUUAGUGCGUUGGGGAAGCAGAGCUAUUACCUUGAAAAAAUUAGAGUGCUUAAAGCAGGCUUGUGCUUGAAUAGAUUAGCAUGGAAUAAUAAAAUAGGACGGCAUGGUUCUAUUUUGUUGGUUUCUAGGAUCACCGUAAUGAUUAAUAGGGAUAGUUGGGGGCAUUAGUAUUCAAUUGUCAGAGGUGAAAUUCUUGGAUUUAUUGAAGACUAACUUCUGCGAAAGCAUUUGCCAAGGAUGUUUUCAUUAAUCAAGAACGAAAGUUAGGGGAUCGAAGACGAUCAGAUACCGUCGUAGUCUUAACCAUAAACUAUGCCGACUAGGGAUCGGACGAUGUUAAUUUUUUAAUGACUCGUUCGGCGCCUUACGGGAAAC
rnacentral:rRNA from 1 species